UCCCACACUUGCAAACACACACACGAGGGCUGUUCACACUUACCCCAGCUCUCUCUCAGAGAAACGGGGUAGGACUGCGCGUCCCCAUCCACUUGAGUUUCAGAGUGUGGACU